rnacentral:rRNA from 1 species
UACGAAGGGGCUAGCGUUGUUCGGAAUCACUGGGCGUAAAGGGCGCGUAGGCGGCGCUUUAAGUCGGGGUGAAAGCCUGUGGCUCAACCACAGAAUGGCCUUCGAUACUGGGACGCUUGAGUAUGGUAGAGGUUGGUGGAACUGCGAGUGUAGAGGUGAAAUUCGUAGAUAUUCGCAAGAACACCAGUGGCGAAGGCGGCUCACUGGCCCAUUACUGACGCUGAGGCACGAAAGCGUGG